UCCCAUUGGGUUUUUUCCAGCCCAUGAUUAGUAGUCUAUUGGGAAUUAAUAGUCUUAGAGGAUUAAAUUGUUUUCCCAAUUGGAGUUGUUUUCCCAAUUGAAGUUGUUUACCCAAUUGGAGUUAGUUUCUCAAUUGGAGUAGGAUUCAUAACUAGAUUCCAAUUAGGAUUAAUAAUCCCUAUUGAAGAAGACCUUUAUUAUGUCUAUAUAAAGGGGCUUUUGUACUAGUUUUGAGGAGGGAGCAAAACAAUAAGUGUGCGAGAGAAAAGAAAAGAGAGAUAGUGUAUUUCUUGUUCUUGUUCUUUCAGGUUUUUCGUCAAGUCCUAGUUCUAGAGAUUUGGCAAGAUUAUUGGUUGUACUCAUUAUUGAUAUAGUGAAAGAUUGUUGUUGUUGCCCCGUGGACGUAGGCACAUAUUGCCGAACCACGUAAUUUCUUGGUGUUAUUUAUCUUGGUUAUUUGUUUUUCCCAUUCUUAAACGCGAUAUUCUCAACAAGUGGUAUCAGAGCCUGGUUCGGCUGAUAUCUGUUUAGAAUGGAGGGUGCAACCUGCUUUAAUUGGGUUAUGUGGAAAUCAAGAGGAGGACAUGCUUUACUGAAGGUGUUAAGAGCAAGCCAGCAAGUAUGUCUGAUGCUGAUUGGACCAAGAUGAAGAUAAGCGAUGUUUUCUGGCAAAGAAGUCUAUAAUUGCCUUUGCCAAUGACGAUGGGUGUUGCGAUCAGGGGGAGCCUGGUCAAGAGAAAUCUAAUCAAGAGGGUCUUGGUUAAUGAGUAGUUCAAUCAAGGGGAGCUUGGUUAUGGGUAAUUCGAUCAGGGGGAGUCUGGUCAUGAAAAGUUCGAUCAAUGGGAGUUUGGUCAAGAGGAGCAAUCCUAUUAUGGUAUACCUUCCUCAUGGUCUGGAGGGGGAGAUUGUUGGGUUUUUUCCAGCCCAUGAUUAGUAGUCUAUUGGGAAUUAAUAGUCUUAGAGGAUUAAAUUGUUUUCCCAAUUGGAGUUGUUUUCCCAAUUGAAGUUGUUUACCCAAUUGGAGUGGUAGGAUUCAUAACUAGAUUCCAAUGAGGAUUAAUAAUCCCUAUUGAAUAAGACCUUUAUUAUGUCUAUAUAAAGGGGCUUUUGUACUAGUUUUGAGGAGGGAGCAAAACAAUAAGUGUGCGAGAGAAAAGAAAAGAGAGAUAGUGUAUUUCUUGUUCUUGUUCUUUCAGGUUUUUCGUCAAGUCCUAGUUCUAGAAAUUUGGCAAGAUUAUUGGUUGUACUCAUUAUUGAUAUAGUGAAAGAUUGUUGUUGUUGUCCCGUGGACGUAGGCACAUAUUGCCGAACCACGUAAUUUCUUGGUGUUAUUUAUCUUGGUUGUUUGUUUUUCCCAUUCUUAAACGCGAUAUUCUCAAC
rnacentral:lncRNA from 1 species